AUAAAUGGGUAGCAUGAAACAGGUAGUUGGAGAUAAAUGGGUUUGGGUAAUACUCAGGCAUUCACGUCAACAUGACUAACUGUCUAGUUAUUUGUGUUACCCAUAGUGUGGCACAUCCAGGUUAGGGUCUGGACAAAUUGGGUUACACGAACCUGGUAACCAUUUAAAGUUCAAUGCAUGAAAUAUUAAAUAAGCACUAAAAUUUUAACACAAAUAAACCAAAAUAAAAAGACAGAGAACAUGACACUUACACACUAAGAGCUCCACCACCCUUUGCAUGACCAUCCAUUUUUGUACCCAUAAGAGCUCCAACAACAACACUCUGCUAAAAUGCUUGAGCAUGGUCAAAUGCCGCUUAACCAAUCUUUAGGGUCUCAUGUAGAAAAAACAUAAAUUUUAAAACGGAAAUCGGUUAGUAAACAUAAAAAGAAGUAAGAUUCAAGAACAUAUCUGACUAAUGACAAAGUGUGAGCUGCCGUCUUAGGGUCUCGUGUAGAAAAACUUGACAUAAUAAAAUGAAAGCCGGUCAGUAAAUUGUUAAGCAAUUAAGAAUCAUGAGCAUGACACUUACACACUAAGAGCUCCACCACCCUUUGCAUGACCAUCCAUUUUUGUACCCAUAACAGCUCCAACAACAACACUCUGCUAAAAUGCUUGAGCAUGGUCAAAUUCCGCUUAACCAAUCUUUAGAGUCUCAUGUAGAAAAAACAUAAAUUUUAAAACGGAAAUCGGUUAGUAAACAUAAAAAGAAGUAAGAUUCAAGAACAUAUCUGACUAAUGACAAAGUGUGAGCUGCCGUCUUAGGGUCUCGUGUAGAAAAACUUGACAUAAUAAAAUGAAAGCCGGUCAGUUAAUUGUUAAGCAAUUAAGAAUCAUGAGCAUACGUGGCUAGUUUGCUACGCUGUGAGCUCCAGUCUUUAAGUCUCAUGUAGAAAAUUGUGAAACUUAAAACAGAGGACUGUUAGUAAAACUAAAAAAAAAGGGAUUCGAGAACAUACCUCAAUAGUGUUAGGUUGUGAGCAGCGGUCUUUGAGUCUCAUGAAUGAAAAAAAAAAACUAAAAUUACUAAGGGAAGUCAUUUAGUAAACCGAAAAGGAAGUAAAAUUCGAGAACAGAACAGACUAGAUUAGUGCUGAGUUGUGAGUUGCAGUCUUCAAGUCUCAUAUAGAAAAACCUGAAAUUAUAAACCGGUAGCUAGUUAGCAAACAGAAAAAGGCGUAAUAUUCAAGAAGAUACCUGCCUAGUGCGGGGCUGAGAAUUGCAGCCUUGGGGUCUAGUGUAGAAAAAUUUGUACUUUAAAACGAAAGUUGGUUAGUAAGUAGAACACACCAACUACAUCUGGGCUGUGAUAAGCUGUAGGUAUCAAGUCUCAUGUAGAAGAAAAAAAUGAAAUUUUAAGUUCUUGGUAAACUUAAAAUGAAGUAACCUAAAAGGCAUCAUUAACAAACCUGCAGUUGGAUUGUCAAUAGCAGCCCGUAAGUCCGAUGUAGAAAUGCCUGAAAUAAAACAGAAAAGAAAGUAGAAUAGUAAAACUGAAAGGAAGCAUGAUUCCAAAAAAUACCCGACUAUUUCUGGGUUGUGAGCUGCAGACGGUUGUAAUGUGUUUUAUUUAAGAUAUGCAAAUCAUGUAGCCGUUAUAAAGAUCGAGUGUCUGCUGGUUUGAUAUUCUGGAUCUAACAGAUACGAUCAUCUCCAAACCUGACUCUGUGUACAGUUGAGUGAAAUUCACAGGCUCAUGCCUGCUUGACAUGAUAGUUAAAUCGCCAACUCUUGCAACCAC
rnacentral:lncRNA from 1 species